rnacentral:lncRNA from 1 species
ACAGGUGCCUGAGAAACAAAGCCGCAGAUCGCUCCACCGCUGUGCGCAGCCCCCUGCUGAGGGGCCAGCGGCUCUCCCUGGGACCCCAGAACCUUAACACAAUUCUGAGGUGGAAGAAAUGGGGAACACCAGGCCUGGCCUCAUGGAGACCGGGGAGUCAGAACCUGAGCUCUGGCUCCUGGAGCUGCUGCGAGUGAGUGGUGGAAACCUGCCCCCUUAGAGAAGCUGCAGCUGAUCAGCAUCAUGCAAGGGACUGCUGAGAUGGUAGCAUGCUGGUAAUGAAGUGUUAUGGAGCCACUCCAUCCUUUAUUCAUCCUUUUCCUCAUACACACAGAGAGCAAAGCACAGGAACCAGCUACAGAAUUUGCAAGUGGAGAAUCCAGGUACCUUUAAAAGUCUAUUUAGUGAAAAUCUCUGGCUAUUGAUGUGACGGUUAAUUUUAUGUGCCAACUUGGCUAGGCCAUGGUACCCAGUUUUUCAUAAAAGAUCAGUCUAGAUGUUGUGAAGGUAUAUUUUUAAAUGUGAUUAACAUUUUAUUCAGUGGACUUCAAGUAAAGCAGAUUAUCCUCCAUAUAGUGGGUGGGCCUUCUCCAAUCAGGCCUUAAGAGCAAAGACCAUGGUUUCUCAAAGAAAGAAUUUUCCUCAAGACUGCAACAUAGAGACCUUGCCUGAGUUUCCAGCCUGAUACCCUGAAGAAUUUGGACUCAAGACUGCAAUAUCAGCUCUUUCCUGAAUUUCUAGCCUGCUGGCCUGCCCUACAGAUUUUAGAUCUCCCAGCCCAAUUGCAUGAGCUAAUUCCUUAAAAUAAAUAAAUCUCUGUGUGUGUAAAAAAAAAAAAAAAAA